CGCCAAUAUGUUACGAACUGCUUUUUUCGGUGGCAGUGCCGCUAGCUCAGUCGUCUUCAGGGCAGAGUACCCCUAAUGCCACAGCUCGCAACAUAAGUAUCGAUAACUUCGCGGUCUCACUUUACUAAUCUAUCGGUCAUCACUAAGGACAAAACGUAAACAAAGCAAAAAUCUACAAAUAUUGACGGGAAAAUGAAUUACAUUUGGUGGCUAUCGGUGACCUAGCCAAGCGCUCCCACCCAACCAUGGAUGCCCUCAAGAUGCUGCAGGGCACCACCCAUUCGCAGUCGGCAGGAGCCCCCUCCUCGCGACUACGGCUACGGUUCCAUCUCCCCCACUGGAUUUAUCCUUCCUCACCCUUCAAGACCGAAACCUGGCCGUCGUCUCGGAUAUUUACGCGGUCAAAGCAGAGGAUUCGUUUUGCUGGAAAAGGGUACAGGCGCCGCGGAAACUAUGCUCUACCAGCCAUGUAUUGGUAGAGCUCGCAUGGAAACGCGGCCCUCAAAGGAAUAUGCGCGAUGCGCGUGUGUAUGGUCACCUAAUCCUGAGGAGCUCCAGGGGAAAAGAAGGGACAGGCCAAAAAGGUACGUAACUGCACUGUAAUCUAUACCAUUUAACUAAUGCUCGCGACCUUUUUAAUUUAAACAACGAGGACAAAUAAGGCUCUCGGGUCUAACUCCGGAUAAACUCACAAACAGCCACCGUCGGGCCGGCCUGGAGGCGAUGAUUGCCCGGGCUGAUGACUUUUCGCCGGAGGCCAGCAGCGAUACGGAUCUCCACACGGGAAAACGGGGCUGUCCGGUGAGUGGUGCACGGGCAGUCCGAGAUUCGGCUGCCAGACAAAAUGGAGAUACUUCUCAGCGCCGCAAUGCGACCGCUGGAAGUUCCCGAGAGGAGGAGGACGCGGUACGCCGGAACGGACUCACCGGGAAAUGUUGACGUCGUCGGCGUCGAUUGUGGAAGGCUUUCCUGGCUGGUCGCUGGCACGGGUCGAACGGACACCGGUUGCUGGGCAGCCAAGUCGGGCUGGCACAAAGAAAAUUUAUACUAGCACUCCUAACUGCAUCUGCCUUGAUUGCUGGACAGUAUGGCCGCCACUAUCACGAUAUCUGCUGAUCAUCGCCCCCCGCCAUAUUACAUGGCCUCUCUCGACAUUGGGUCAUUGGAUACAUGGGCCAUUUGAAGUAAUCCCAGAGCGAACCGGGAUUAAUCUUCAAAUGGCCAGAUCGCCCGCCAGACUCAUCCCGCUGCUGCAGCUAUCGCCCUAUCGACCUAAACUAUCGAUAACGUCGCUCCCACUCGACUCCAAUUGCAACAUAACGUCAAUUUCUCAACAGAAAACAAACAUUACACAACACAGCAAACGGCGAUAUUAGCAAAUUAAUGAUUGAUAACAUAAACAUUAACCACACAAAACUUCACUAACAUACACUUGUAGAAAUUUUUUGGCAAUUAGUUAGCGUAACGCAUUUUGGGAAAAAUAAAGAUAUGUCGGAGAGAAGGUAA